ACUGAAUUUUCACAUUUUAAUCCAUCAAAAAGUUUCAUUAUGGGGCUAAAUAUUGCAUUUCAGUACUGCAUUCUUUUACUGAUGCUAACACAAGAUAUUAUAAAUGCUGAGAUCAGACUUGAGCAGUCUUCUGCUGUGGUGAAGAAACCUGGAGAAACUGUGAAGAUCUCCUGUAAAAUCAGUGGAUUUACAAUGACCAGCGCUUAUAUGCACUGGAUACGACAGAAACCAGGACAAGCUCUGGAGUGGAUUGGGAGAGUAAACUCUGGCAGUAGCUCUGAUAUUAAAUAUGCAGAUUCCAUGAAAGAUCACUUUGUACUGACUGAGGACGUUCCUUCAGAAACACAGUUCUUAGAGGCCAAGAGUCUGAGAGCAGAAGAUACUGCUGUUUAUUACUGCGCUCGAAGAGACACAGUGACUGAAGCUGAUGAAGCAGCUGUACAAAAACCAACCCACCCCCCACAUACAGGUACAUGUAUACACUGA